AAAGCAAAUGUGAAGACAAACCUGUACAGAGAAGUUUUCAGUUAAGGGUUCACAUCAUGACAUUGUAAAUUCGGUUAGUCAAUUUACAGUUUUUCUAAAUGGCUGCUAAAAAGAAUCUAGUAUGAGAAUUUCUGGUUGAAGACCUGCCAAUUCAUUGAUCCCCUUGCAAAGAUUUACAGACCUCCACCAAGGAGAGCACUCCUUGGAUAUGGUGGCUACCAAUGAUGGCAACUAGUAACUGAUCAUCAUUAUGAGAAUUAAUUCACGCAUCUCUCUAGUUUUGUGUUUUUGGGCAAGGAUCAUUUAUUUAGGAAGAAAGGCAAUACGAACUAACUACAGUAAAAGGGAAAACUUCUAUGCAAGGAAGUGGCAGUCAUCAUACUGCGGGCCCAGGGUCUCUUUUGGUGGAUAGGCUAGAAAUGAUCUGCACAUAAUUAGCAUUUAGCAACCAGCAGCCUACAUUUAGCAUGUUGCAUAAUUAGUAUUUAGUAACCAGCAGCCUACAUUUAGCAAGUUGCAUUUAACAGCAACAAGAGCCCAUUGUUUGUAUUAUAAGAAAGAACAAAAUAUAAUUCAUCUUCAACAUUUACAAGGAAAUAUGAUACUCACAUAAGCAUGCCACCAA
rnacentral:misc_RNA from 1 species